rnacentral:rRNA from 1 species
GGGCCCGCACAAGCAGCGGAGCAUGUGGUUUAAUUCGAAGCAACGCGAAGAACCUUACCAGGGCUUGACAUCGCGCGCAAUACAUGGAAACAUGUAGUUCCUUCGGGACGCGCAGACAGGUGGUGCAUGGUUGUCGUCAGCUCGUGUCGUGAGAUGUUGGGUUAAGUCCCGCAACGAGCGCAACCCUUGUCCUUAGUUACCAUCAUUAAGUUGGGGACUCUAGGGAGACUGCCGGGGAUAACUCGGAGGAAGGUGGGGACGACGUCAAAUCAUCAUGCCCCUUAUGUCCUGGGCUACACACGUGCUACAAUGGCCGUUACAGAGGGCAGCGAGACUGUAAAGUUUAGCGAAUCUCAAAAGGCGGUCCCAGUUCGGAUUGUGGGCUGCAACCCGCCCACAUGAAGUCGGAGUUGCUAGUAAUCGCGAAUCAGCAUGUCG